rnacentral:rRNA from 1 species
CCUACGGGGGGCUGCAGUGGGGAAUAUUGGACAAUGGGGGGAACCCUGAUCCAGCCAUGCCGCGUGUGUGAAGAAGGCCCUCGGGUUGUAAAGCACUUUCAGUGAGGAAGAACGCCUGGUGGUUAAUACCCAUCAGGAAAGACAUCACUCACAGAAGAAGCACCGGCUAACUCCGUGCCAGCAGCCGCGGUAAUACGGAGGGUGCGAGCGUUAAUCGGAAUUACUGGGCGUAAAGCGCGCGUAGGUGGCUUGAUAAGCCGGUUGUGAAAGCCCCGGGCUCAACCUGGGAACGGCAUCCGGAACUGUCAAGCUAGAGUGCAGGAGAGGAAGGUAGAAUUCCCGGUGUAGCGGUGAAAUGCGUAGAGAUCGGGAGGAAUACCAGUGGCGAAGGCGGCCUUCUGGACUGACACUGACACUGAGGUGCGAAAGCGUGGGUAGCACACAGGAUUAGAUACACUUGUAGUC